UACCAGCUCUCCGAGUGGUAGGGAUGUUUAUUGGGCUUAAGGCGUCCGUAGCCGGCUUAGCAAGUCUCCUGUUAAAUUCAGCGACCUAAUCGUUGAGCCGCGGGAGAUACUACUAGGCUAGGAGGCGGGAGAGGUCAACGGUACUUCCGGGGUAGGGGCGAAAUCCUAUAAUCCCGGGAGGACCACCAGUGGCGAAGGCUGUUGACUAGAACGCGCUCGACGGUGAGGGAGGAAAGCUGGGGGAGCGAACCGGAUUAGAUACCCGGGUAGUCCCAGCUGUAAACGAUGCGAGCUAGGUGUUGGGGUGGCUACGUGCCACUUCAGUGCCGCAGGGAAGCCAUUAAGCUCGCCGCCUGGGGAGUACGGCCGCAAGGCUGAAACUUAAAGGAAUUGGCGGGGAGCACCACAAGGCGUGAAGCUUGCGGUUC
rnacentral:rRNA from 1 species